AAUAAGAAGGUCUUUGACAUUCAGUGGGAUGAGAAUCUCAGAACAGACUGAUACUGGGGACUCCCAAGCUACAGUUCAGAAACCAUUUUGAUAGGUGGGGGUUGUUUGUCUGAAAAGUGUUCUGAGGACUGAGUAUGAAACAAGAAGAGUAUUAAUGAGAGAGAAUGGAUAUGGCAUCUUCACAAAGAGAGACAUUCUGGUGGGUAAAAGAGACAAUCUGGCCUUCAAAGUGUUAUGCACUCACUCCAAUGCCAAAAUAUAAAACAUGCAUUGGCAACUCUAGUGUAAGGGUAUUACUAGCUUCUUCAAGCUGCACUGGACAAGUGCAUGUGCUAGAUACAUUUUAUUAUAGUUUUUCAAAUUGCUGUGAUUCUGUAGGCUAUCAUAGUAACUUGAAAGGAAGAAGUUAGGCUGCUCACAACUUUUUUUUGCAGUCCUAAUCUUUCUCUCUGGUUCAUUGCUUGACAAGUGUUCAGUUAUUUAUUUGAUCUGUUUAUAAUUUAAAGUUGUCUUUGGGGGGGGAAAGGAGAAGGUGAGUCCUUUUCAGUUUAAAAAAAMCAUCAAAUUCUGAAAGACAAUAUCAAUCAAGAAAAACCUGGUUUGCAAUUUCCAUGUCAUAGAGGUAUCUUAUCUGUAGUUGCAGUAAUCAUAAAAAUCAAAGCUGAAGUGUUACCUACUUUUUUUCUUUUGAUCUUUUCUAAAGUGUCUGUACUGAAUGACAUUGUUUCAAAUAAAAAUGGUCAAAGCAAGUGAUUGACUUGUAAA
ensembl:lncRNA